rnacentral:rRNA from 1 species
UACGAAGGGGGCUAGCGUUGCUCGGAAUCACUGGGCGUAAAGCGCACGUAGGCGGAUUGCUAAGUCAGGGGUGAAAUCCUGGAGCUCAACUCCAGAACUGCCUUUGAUACUGGCGACCUUGAGUCCGGGAGAGGUGAGUGGAGCUGCGAGUGUAGAGGUGAAAUUCGUAGAUAUUCGCAAGAACACCAGUGGCGAAGGCGGCUCACUGGCCCGGUACUGACGCUGAGGUGCGAAAGCGUGGGGAGCAAACAGG